UAACCCUCUCCCAAGCUAGCUGACUCCCUUUUUCUUCCCUUCAUUUUCAUCUUUUUCUUCUCCAAAUUGAAUCGUUAGUUCUUCAAUCAGGAAGUAUCUAAGUAUUCCUGACGUCUUCAGCUUCAAAUCUGACCGAUUAAUUUCUCCUUCUAGUAUCCGGAAUCUUCAAGCUCACUAGGGUGCAAGCGUGAGGUUAGGGCAUUCAGGGUUUUUACUGCUUGAUUGAAAGAAGCAAAUGAUGUCCCUUUGGAGCAACAUUGAGAGUGAGGAUGCAACCCCUAGUUCUUAGGAUAUCUAUUAUCUAUCUUUUUCAUUUUGAAAGACUUGUCUUUAUUACAGUUUAAAAAUUUAUAGAUCUUUUGGAAUAUUUUAGUUAUAUUGUAUUUUGAAAUACUUAUAAUAGGUAAAGUUUAAACUCAUAGCCUCUUUUGAAAUUACUUAAAAUUAUAAUUCUAUUUUAGAUCCUCUUAACUGCUUUAUUAUAUUAUAAUGCUUA